rnacentral:antisense_RNA from 1 species
CUUGAUGGAGCCCAGCCACAACGGCCGGUCCUCCGCCCUCCCCUGCCCGUACGUGGCCAGCAGCGCCUGCGCCUC